rnacentral:tRNA from 2 species
UCCCCGGUAGCUCAGCGGUAGAGCAUUCGACUGUUAAUCGAAUGGCCGCCUGUUCGAAUCAGGCCCGGGGAGCCA